UAGAGCAAGAGAACAUUUUAAACACAAAUCUUAGAACACAAAAUAUGGACCCUGAGAGCUGGAAGGUUGUUAGAACCCAGAACAAAGAAUGUUGGGCCUGAGAAUAUAGAACAUAGAAUGUCUCAAAACAUAAAGCACAGAAUAUCAGAAAAUAAAGAUGUUUUAGAAUGUAGAACCCAAACUAUUAGACUUUAGAAAAUAGAAUUCUAGAACUGAGGAUCCUUUGAAUACAGAAUAUCAGCCCAAGAACAUAGAAGAUAAAAUAACAGUAUCACAAGGGACUUUUCAGUACAGAAUGUUAUAGAACAGGACAUGAAUCCUCACAUUUUUUGGCUUCUGUUUAUUCUUUGGUACAACGAGACAAUUGAAUUAAAUGAUCCCUGAGUUUCCUUUUAGGUUUUGAAGAUCUAUGAAGCUAUUUCAUGUACUUUCUUCAUUCUGGCUGUUUGGAGAAACAAAUGUUUUAAGUAGAAACACAACCAAAUGCCUUAAGCAAAGAAAAGAAAAUCCUGAUGACAGAUGAUGGGUUCUUGACUUUAUAAAAACUUCUUUCAGGCUGUACGGAGAAAUAAAUGGUCUAUGUAGAAACACAACCAAACCCUUUCAGCAAAGGAAAAAAAUGGUCAUGAUCAUGUGUUUUUGACUUUUUUGGAAGCAAGAUAAACCAAUGGAUGCCUUCUUUAAAUAAAGGUCUGUUCAUGAAUCAUUCAUGAAGAAGCUGUGUUUAUGUUUCUGACGCAGACCAUUAAGCACCUCUCAGUAGAAUGAAUAUUGUUAACACCCAGGUGUCCAUCACCAAUCAUCUGUCUUCAGGGAUCUGGGAAUAGAAUCAAUGAAGAGCAGAAAAGCUGGACUAACCUGCAUAUCAUCUUCACUGGCAACAUCUGGGAAAAAAGCAGAGAUGCAAAA